rnacentral:miRNA from 1 species
AAAACCCAAACAAACUUUUUU